AAUAACUGGGAGAUGAAACAGGAAGCUCUAUGACACAGUUGAUCGAAAAUGACACAGACACAGAAAAAUCAGGACUCGGCCCCCUCCAGUGCCUCUACCUGCUGCCCACAGCCGGAGUGCAGGUGCCCAAGGACAACCAUGCUGGCGUCCUUCUCCUGGUCACAGCCAGACCUCCACCGGGACCUGUGGGCUGCAAGAUGCUGACAAUGGAUGAGGGUGGCCCACCCGGCCCCCAGGGCAGUCAGUGCCUGGCCUACUGCCCACCUGGCCCCUGCUCCAGCCCUCACGUGCAGUCCCUCUGGAAGAACAUUGCUCCUCUUAGAAAAAGGCCACCUGACUUCCCUGACCCACCUCUUCUUGAGAAAAGAGUGACCCAGGAAAGUAUUUCUGAAGACGUGGUCAGUGCCGGGGCCCCUCAUUUAGGGUUGCAAUGAUGGAGAUUCCAGAAAUUACAGAAGUCGGUCAGAUGCACCCCUGUUCUGGCCUGCAUGGUCUCUGGCAAGCGGCUGGGUCCCUGAGCUCCACUUGCCAAAUUCACCAUGUCAACGUGGGGGCAUAUUUGCAAUAAUGUAUGAAAACACAAAGGACAGAUUCAGUGAUGGUGACUAUCAUCGUUAUUAUUUUAAUUCAUAAAAACCGAAGAUUGAAAAAAAGAAAUGUAUCAAGGAAAUAAUAGAAACAUGCCAUCGGUAAAAAUAUUCUAACAACCUAAGCUAUAAAACGUAAACUAACGAAAGGAAGAAAAGAUCUAAAAAGCUGGGGUUAGCCCAGACAGCAGUCUCAGAAAAGAGAACAGCCUUAGAAAGCACCUGAGAAUCGAAGGGCCUGCUUCCAGGGCUUCCUCCGCUCUCCGCGGUCAAGACGGGGCCCGAUCCCAAAGCUGCAUGGCCAGAUACCGUAUAGAAACAGUGAUUUGCUUUAAUGUAAAUAUUUUGAUGUAAAAUUUCUUUACCUGAACUUUUAACCUUGCAGGUAAACAGGGUAUGUACAGUAAAUGAUUGUUUUUCUGAGAACUGACUUUUGAGGAAACGGGGGAAAAGGAUUUUUAUUAGCUAAUUGUCAGUCUUGUGCAUGAUUGAAAACCUCAUUAUUCUGCGUCACAAGAUCUGCUUCAGGAGACAUUCAGCCACCAAAAAGUGCUUUAUUUGACUUUAUGAAAAAGAAAACUUUAAAAUGUGUAAAUACGCCAAUCCAAAAAUCACAAAACUUACAAAGACAAUGGAGGGAGGGAAGUCAUUCUGUAGAAGGUUUCUGAGACAAGAGGAACAAUCCAACCAAAAUCCAAGUUGUUUCUAACUAGAAACUUUGCACCCUUCAUUUCCCUGUGGACUCUGGUCCUACUCUCCCUUUCCAUCUAUUGUAACCUCUGAGGUCUUGGAAUGGAAGGCAACGGGCGUCUGAGGUCCUGGCCUCAGCGUGAGCCUUAAGAUAGAU
rnacentral:lncRNA from 1 species